rnacentral:rRNA from 1 species
GUAACACGUAGUCAACAUGCCCAGGGGACGUGGAUAACCUCGGGAAACUGAGAAUAAACCACGAUAGGUCACAAUUUCUGGAAUGGAUUUUGGCUUAAAUCUAUAUGGCCCCUGGAUUGGACUGCGGCCGAUCAGGCUGUUGGUGAGGUAAUGGCCCACCAAACCUAUAACCGGUACGGGCUCUGAGAGGAGGAGCCCGGAGAUGGGCACUGAGAUAAGGGCCCAGGCCCUAUGGGGCGCAGCAGGCGCGAAACCUCUGCAAUGGGCGAAAGCCUGACAGGGUUACUCUGAGUGAUUUCCGCUAAGGGGAUCUUUUGACACCUCUACAAAUGGUGUAGAAUAAGGGGUGGGCAAGUCUGGUGUCAGCCGCCGCGGUAAUACCAGCACCCCGAGUGGUCGGGACGAUUAUUGGGCCUAAAGCAUCCGUAGCCGGUUCUUCAAGUCUUCCGUUAAAUCCAGCCGCUCAACGGAUGGGCUGCGGAAGAUACUAAAGGACU